rnacentral:rRNA from 1 species
UGCCAGCCGCCGCGGUAAUACGAAGGGUGCAAGCGUUAUCCGGAUUUAUUGGGUUUAAAGGGUGCGCAGGCGGGAUAGUAAGUCAGUGGUGAAAGCCCACAGCUCAACUGUGGAAUUGCCAUUGAUACUGCUAUUCUUGAAUAUAGUUGAAGUGAACGGAAUGUAACAUGUAGCGGUGAAAUGCAUAGAUAUGUUACAGAACACCAAUUGCGAAGGCAGUUCACUAAACUAUUAUUGACGCUCAGGCACGAAAGCGUGGGUAGCGAACAGGAUUAGAUA